rnacentral:rRNA from 1 species
AUUGAACGCUGGCGGCAUGCCUUACACAUGCAAGUCGAACGGCAGCACGGGUGCUUGCACCUGGUGGCGAGUGGCGAACGGGUGAGUAAUACAUCGGAACAUGUCCUGUAGUGGGGGAUAGCCCGGCGAAAGCCGGAUUAAUACCGCAUACGAUCUACAGAUGAAAGCGGGGGACCUUCGGGCCUCGCGCUAUAGGGUUGGCCGAUGGCUGAUUAGCUAGUUGGUGGGGUAAAGGCCUACCAAGGCGACGAUCAGUAGCUGGUCUGAGAGGACGACCAGCCACACUGGGACUGAGACACGGCCCAGACACCUACGGGAGGCAGCAGUGGGGAAUUUUGGACAAUGGGCGAAAGCCUGAUCCAGCAAUGCCGCGUGUGUGAAGAAGGCCUUCGGGUUGUAAAGCACUUUUGUCCGGAAAGAAAUCCUUGGCUCUAAUACAGUCGGGGGAUGACGGUACCGGAAGAAUAAGCACCGGCUAACUACGUG